GACGAACGCUGGCGGCGUGCUUAACACAUGCAAGUCGAACGAUGAACCCGGAGCUUGCCCUGGGGGAUUAGUGGCGAACGGGUGAGUAACACGUGAGUAACCUGCCCUGGACUCUGGGAUAAGCGUUGGAAACGACGUCUAAUACCGGAUAGGACCUUGGAUCGCAUGAGCUGGGGUGGAAAGUUUGGUCGGUCUGGGAUGGACUCGCGGCCUACCAGCUUGUUGGUGAGGUAAUGGCUCACCAAGGCGUCGACGGGUAGCCGGCCUGCGAGGGUGCCCGGCCACGCUCGGACUGAGUCCCGGCCCCGCCUCUUACGGAGGGCAGCCGUGGGGAGUAUUGCUCAAUGAGCGAAGGCGUGUGGCAGCAGCGCCGCUUGCGAGAUGACGGCCUUCGGGUUGUAAACCGCUUGUAGUAGGGAAGAAGGGCUUCGGCUUGACGGUACCUGCAGAAAAAGGACCGGCUAACUACGUG
rnacentral:rRNA from 1 species